AGUGAACGCUGGCGGUAGGCCUAACACAUGCAAGUCGAACGGCAGCACAGUAAGAUCUUGCUCUUACGGGUGGCGAGUGGCGGACGGGUGAGGAAUACAUCGGAAUCUACUUUUUCGGGGGGGAUAACGGAGGGAAACUUACGCUAAUAGCGCAUACGACCUACGGGUGAAAGCAGUGGAGCUUCGGACCUUGCGCGAUUGUAUGAGCCGAUGUCGGAUUAGCUAGUUGGCGGGGUAAAGGCCCACCAAGGCGACGAUCCGUAGCUGGUCUGAGAGGAUGAUCGGCCACACUGGAACUGAGACACGGUCCAGACUCCUACGGGAGGCAGCAGUGGGGAAUAUUGGGCAAUGGGCGAAAGCCUUAUCCAGCAAUACCGCGUGGGUGAAGAAGGCCUUCGGGUCGUAAAGCCCUUUUGUUGGGAAAGAAAAGCAGCAGGUUAAUACCCCGCUGUUCUGACGGUACCCAAACAAUAAGCACCGGCUAACUACGUG
rnacentral:rRNA from 1 species